rnacentral:rRNA from 1 species
GAUGAACGCUAGCGGCAGGCCUAAUACAUGCAAGCUGAACGGUAAAUAUUGUAGCAAUACAAUAUGAGAGUAGCGUAAGGGUGCGUAACACGUAUGCAAUCUGCCCUGUACAGGAGGAUAGCUCGGGGAAACCCGGAUUAAUACUCCGUAAUAUUAUUGGGAGGCAUCUCUUGAUAAUUAAAGUCGCAAGACGGUAUGGGAUGAGCAUGCGUCUGAUUAGCUAGUUGGUGGUGUAACGGACCACCAAGGCGAUGAUCAGUAGGGGAACUGAGAGGUUGAUCCCCCACACUGGCACUGAGAUACGGGCCAGACUCCUACGGGAGGCAGCAGUAGGGAAUAUUGGUCAAUGGAUGCAAGUCUGAACCAGCCAUGCCGCGUGCAGGAAGAAGGCCUUCUGGGUUGUAAACUGCUUUUGCCGGGGGAUAAAAAGUCCAUGCGUGGACAAUUGAAGGUACCCGGUGAAUAAGCCACGGCUAACUACGUGCC